AUAUAUAUAUAUAUAUAUCAUAUACCUAUAUGUGAAACCCUUUUCUGAAAUAUUAACGAGUCCACGUCUAUGAGAAGUUCCCCACCGACCGCUCUCAUGCCUCCGUCACGUGUAGCUAAGCUGUCUCUUUGUGUGCUUAAACUCAUUUCCGCCCAAAAUAGCAUUGACGACACACUGGGAUUGAAGAAACGGCGUCGUUUGGCUGCUAAUGAAUGAUGCCUUGGUGCUUGCUUCCGGUCAGCCUGACAUCACCAUGAGGAAGAAGACUUGGUGGUGGGUUUUCCUUAUUGGCGGUGGUGUUUCUUCCGAUGUUGCUUGCCACUGUUGGACCCCUUUAAUUGACACCUCUCCUUCUUUGCAAUGACUCUCUCAAAAUAAGGUAAUACCGACCUAACUUCAGUAUUAAAGGAGUGCAGUUCAUUUGCGUAGUAGAUUCUUCUUGGCACUCUUGGAUUCCCAUUAAACACCACUUCCCCUUCAUUGUGGUCGACUCAGCCUCUUGACUUUCUCUUCAUGCCGACUCCAUGGUUGUUCUGUAUUUAAGGUUAUAAUUUCACAUGUUUGUUGUUAUUUUUUAGGGUUACUCGGUAGGUAUAUUUUGAUAAGGUUUAUGCGUAUUUUUCUAUUUUCUUGAAAUUACAGCCACUUCCUUUGAUUGCUCACCGCUCCAAACAUCUUCAUAUAUUUUGAUUAGUUUUUCGUUUUGUCUGCAGAUGAGCUUCAAUUUAAUCGUUUCCUUACUCCUCAAGGAUCUGUCCUUUCUUCAUUCUUUCUUCAUGGGUUGAAAGCAAAAGGGGGAUACUGCCUCGUAUGUUACUAAAAAGGUAAAUUUGAACUCCAAAUUAAAACUCUAUUAUAUUUUGUUUGUGUAAAUAAAUGUUAAUCUGGAAUCGAGGUAUAGGGCUUGAACCCUAAUUUCAUUUCUUCCUAUUAUGAGCUCUCUCUUUUGAAAGUUUUUUAAUCUAUCGAUGUUAGUUCUUCUAUUCUCUACACCAUUUUGAAUACGUUUUACAUGAAGAAGUUAUCAUGAGGAAAUUGUUGUUGUAAGAUGUACAAAUCAUGUUAGCAAUCACGUUUUCAAAGUAUUCAUCACUAGGCGGAACUUAAACAUGAGGAAACAGGAUAUUCUAACAAGUAUGUUAAGACCUCAACCUGAUGACGAUGAAUCUAAUUUCAACUCUUGAAUUGAGAUACAUCCACAUGGUGGAGACCGGAGAGGCGUUGGGUUUAAACCUUCCCCCCAGCUCAACACUUCCUACCUACUACCCUUCUCUGUUGAUUUCUUUCUAAUUUGUUCAUUGCAGAACACUUUAUGGGUUUUCAUCAAAUUAGUUUUCAAAGUAUCAUUUGUUACUGAGGUUGAGUUUUUGUUUGAUAGGUUUUGCAGCAGAGUCAACUCAGGGGUUGUGGGUGACAAUCAAUUAUAUGGGUAUUACGCAUCAUCUUUAUAGUGGAAGAUUGGAGCAGGCCGCACUUGACAUGUAAAGCUACUAGAACACUAAUUAAGUCUCACAUCCUUCAUUCUUUCAGUGGAGAAGGUGGGUAAUGUUUAAUGGUCUUCUUUUGGAUUGGCAACCCUAACAGAUUCGAUUGAAGGUGAGGUUGAUUCUGCAUCCUACUUUUUUCUUCUCCAACAUGGAUUAGUUGAAGAUGAGUUUAUUUUUUAAAAGUAGAAGAGAUUGAAGGGUUUUCUAAACUAAUUGAAGACAACUUACAUUUUUUCACAGGUUGAUGUUACAAAGAAUUUGAUUAAAGGUUUCCGAUUUGUGAUUAGGUAAUAUGGUUUUUAUUUUCUGGAUUUUUUGUAUUUUUGAUUGGUAAAUGGUCAACUAAGAUCCUUUAACAAAUCUCCUUCAUUUUGUUUUGACUGUUUGAUAGCAAUGCUCAUCAAAGCUAUGAUUUACGACAAAGCUGGUCAUGAAAGAUGUAUCUUUUUUCCUCUUGUUUUUAGUUUUUUUGUUUAGGUUUCCUUAAAAAAAAUUCAUCCAUUAGUCUAUCAGUCUCUUCUUUUUUAUUAACUUUAAAUUUUGAAUUUUUUGACACUUUUUCUCCAAAUUACAACUAAGAAGAAUCAUCGUUGGACAUUAUUGAUUUGAAAUUUCAAUUUAUCAUGAUCAAAUUAACAUGGAACUUAAUUGGAUCGGGAACAAGUUAGAUUUUAACAAAAAAAAAAAUAGUAAAUUUCAUUUUAGUAAAUUCCAUUUAAGUUUCCCAUAAAAAUAGUUUUUUUUUUAAUUUUUUAAUUUUUUUUAAUUAUGUAUGUAGUGUAGUGUUCAUGGGGGCAGCAAGUUGAUUCUACUGGGAAUGGGCUCAAACGAACCUUCCACCACCUGGUCCCAUACCAAUGCUAUCAAUGAACACCAAUUGGAAAUGAGCAAGAUGGUUUUAGUAAAGACGAGGUAAUAGUAAAUGGCUAAUCACAAGAAAUAGCAAUAUACUGUCAUUUACAUCAUUCAAAUAGCAGCUUACUUUCAUUUCUUUCAAUUACAAUAACGCAUUUACUUUCAAACUUCCUUCUACAAUGCUUUAAUCACAAGGAAUAACUGAAUAACCAGUUGCUUUCAUUUCUUUUCAUUAUAUCAUUGCAUUCUUAAUCUUUUUUUUAUUUUAAAUUAUAGCCAAUUAAAGUAUAUACUUCACCUUUUUUUUCAUACCAAGUCAUUAUACCUAAGGCUGUAAAAAGUUAU
rnacentral:lncRNA from 1 species